rnacentral:rRNA from 1 species
GGUCAAGCUACAAGGGGCUCACGGAGGAUACCUA